AGUUUUAUAGUUUAAAGUAAAAUAUUAAAUUGCAAAUUUAAAGAUAAAUAUAAUUUUUAAAACUU
rnacentral:tRNA from 1 species